rnacentral:rRNA from 1 species
AUUGGGCAAUGGGCGAAAGCCUGACCCAGCUAUGCCGCGUGCAGGAUGACAGCUCUAGUAGUUGUAAACUGCUUUUAUACGGGAAGAAAAGCACCUACGUGUAGGUGUCUGACGGUACCGUAAGAAUAAGGACCGGCUAACUCCGUGCCAGCAGCCGCGGUAAUACGGAGGGUCCAAGCGUUAUCCGGAUUCAUUGGGUUUAAAGGGUGUGUAGGCGGAAAGGUCAGUCAGUGGUGAAAUCCUACAGCUUAACUGUAGAACUGCCAUUGAUACUUCCUUUCUUGAGUCUAGUUGAAGUGAGCGGAAUGUGUCAUGUAGCGGUGAAAUGCAUAGAUAUGACACAGAACACCGAUUGCGAAGGCAGCUCGCUAAGCUAGUACUGACGCUGAGGCACGAAAGCGUGGGUAGCGAACAGGAUUAGAUACCCUGGUAGUCCACGCCGUAAACGAUGAUUACUCGAUGUUGGCGAUAUAAUGUCAGCGUCCAAGCGAAAGUGUUAAGUAAUCCACCUGGGGAGUACGGUCGCAAGAUUGAAACUCAAAGGAAUUGACGGGGGCCCGCACAAGCGGAGGAACAUGUGGUUUAAUUCGAUGAUACGCGAGGAACCUUACCUGGGCUUAAAUGUAAGAUGACAGGCUGGGAAACCAGCUCUCCUUCGGGCAACUUACAAGGUGCUGCAUGGCUGUCGUCAGCCCGUGCCGUGAGGUGUCGGGUUAAGUCCCAUAACGAGCGCAACCCCUAUCCUUAGUUGCCAGCGGAUAAUGCCGGGGACUCUAAGGAAACUGCCCGCGCAAGCGGUGAGGAAGGUGGGGAUGACGUCAAGUCAGCACGGCCCUUACGUCCAGGGCCACACACGUGUUACAAUGGCCGGUACAGAGGGCAGCUACCUGGUGACAGGAUGCGAAUCUCUAAAGCCGGUCUCAGUUCGGAUCGAAGUCUGCAACUCGACUUCGUGAAGUUGGAUUCGCUAGUAAUCGCGCAUCAGCCUCGGCGCGGUGAAUACGUUCCCGGGCCUUGUACACACCGCCCGUCAAGCCAUGGAAGCCGGGGGUACCUGAAGUCAGUCACCGUAAGGAACUGCCUAGGGUAAAACUGGUAACUGGGGCUAAGUCGUAACAAGGUAGCCGUACCGGAAGGUGCGGCUGGAAUACCUCCUUUCU